GACGAACGCUGGCGGCGUGCUUAACACAUGCAAGUCGAACGGAAAGGCCCUGCUUUUGUGGGGUGCUCGAGUGGCGAACGGGUGAGUAACACGUGAGUAACCUGCCCUUGACUUUGGGAUAACUUCAGGAAACUGGGGCUAAUACCGGAUAGGAGCUCCUGCUGCAUAGUGGGGGUUGGAAAGUUUCGGCGGUUGGGGAUGGACUCGCGGCUUAUCAGCUUGUUGGUGGGGUAGUGGCUUACCAAGGCUUUGACGGGUAGCCGGCCUGAGAGGGUGACCGGCCACAUUGGGACUGAGAUACGGCCCAGACUCCUACGGGAGGCAGCAGUGGGGAAUAUUGCACAAUGGGCGGAAGCCUGAUGCAGCAACGCCGCGUGCGGGAUGACGGCCUUCGGGUUGUAAACCGCUUUCGCCUGUGACGAAGCGUGAGUGACGGUAAUGGGUAAAGAGGCACCGGCUAACUACGUG
rnacentral:rRNA from 1 species